AAUGGCAGGUGGACAGCCAACCUUUGCCUUUGUGCCAAGUCUCCUAAGAACAAACAUGCAGAGCCUGCUCCAAGUUGGGCAAAGGUCCAAUUCCCUGUCUUCCCCUUAGAAGGUAGUCUCUGGAGACUCUGCCUUGAAUAGUAGAAUUGUGUCUGAGGUGUUUUUGUUUGUGGGGUUUUCAUGUGCUUUCUUUUUUAUCUUCCCUAGGAAAAAAGAACUGAUCAUUGGCAAAAAGCUGAGGAUGACAACCUUAGGGGAUGAAAGGCUGUCUUUUCGCACCCUUCUGAGCUUUUCUGCCGGCUCCCAGCUGGGAGAAACCAACACGAUGAAAGGUGAACUCCAGAAUAUAUAAAUUACAUCUCAAGCUUCUAAAAGAAAAAAUAAAGCCUUAAACCAUUCAACCG
rnacentral:lncRNA from 1 species